UACACAGCCUAAGUAACCUGAAAGCGCCAUAUCCCAUCUGAUCUUGGAUGCUAAGCAGGAUCAGUCCUGGGUUAGUAUUUGGAUGGGAGACCACCAAUGAAUACCUGGUACUGUAGUAU
rnacentral:rRNA from 1 species